GAUGAACGCUAGCGGGAGGCUUAACACAUGCAAGUCGAGGGGCAGCACGAGGUAGCAAUACUUUGGUGGCGACCGGCGCACGGGUGAGUAACGCGUAUGCAACCUGCCCUUUACCGGAGGAUAACCCGGAGAAAUUCGGACUAAUACUGCAUAAUAAUAUCGGAAGGCAUCUUUUGAUAUUUAAACUACGGUGGUAAAGGAAGGGCAUGCGUAACAUUAGCUAGUUGGCAGGGUAACGGCCUACCAAGGCUCUGAUGUUUAGGGGACCUGAGAGGGUGAACCCCCACACUGGUACUGAGACACGGACCAGACUCCUACGGGAGGCAG
rnacentral:rRNA from 1 species